rnacentral:rRNA from 1 species
CGUAGGCAGCAAGCGUUGUUCGGAAUUACUGGGCGUAAAGAGUGUGUAGGCGGUGCUCCAAGUCUGGUGUGAAAUCUCCCGGCUUAACUGGGAGGGUGCAUUAGAAACUGGAAUGCUAGAGGAUGGGAGAGGUAAGCGGAAUUCCUGGUGUAGCGGUGAAAUGCGUAGAUAUCAGGAGGAACACCUGUGGUGUAGACAGCUUACUGGACCAUUUCUGACGCUGAGACACGAAAGCGUGGGUAGCAAACAGGAUUAGAUACCCUGGUAGUCCACGCCCUAAACGAUGCAUACUUGGUGUGAGCGAUUCAUUUCGUUCGUGCCGGAGCUAACGCGUUAAGUAUGCCGCCUGGGGAGUACGGUCGCAAGGCUG